rnacentral:lncRNA from 1 species
GGUCUCUUGACACCACACCCAUCUGGUUAUCCUCUUUGUUUUUUUGUUUUGUCACUGUAUUCUCCUCUCCCCAAUGUUUCUAUGCUGUUACAACCUAAGGCCCAACCCUCAGACCACCUCUUUUCCCUCUCUCUUCUUUGUCCCAAAUGAUUUCACUCUUUGAUAAAUGAUUUAUUACCAAUAAACCAAUAAACUAAUAAUUGAUUUAUUACCAAUAAGUCAUUUAUCAAUGAGUGACAUUUACCCUUGGUAAAUAAAUCAUUUACCAUUGAUUUAUUGGUAAAUAAAUCAUUUAUCAAUUUUUUAUAAAUGAUAAAGAAGUCAUUUAUCAGUAUCACUGGUAAAUCAUUUACCAAUCACUUAACGGAUACUGCUUGAAGCACUUUACGACUUUACAAUUAUUACCUCAUUUUACUCCUGGCCUCAAGCGAUUAGCCUUGCCUUGGCUUCCCAAAGUGUUGGGAUUAUAGGCGUGAGCCAUUGUGCCUGGCAAAAUGAUGCAAUUUGUUACAGCAGUUAACAUACAUACCCUGACUUAUAUACCAUUGCCUACAGGCAGCUCAGACUCAAUGGAAUUAAAUUAACAAAAAUAAUGACUCUCAUUCAUUCAUUUACCUUAUCAUGUUUAAUCCUUACACAACUCUGAAAUAAAGGUACUGUCAACAUUUCCAUUUUAUUUUAUUUUAUUUUUAUUUUUAUUUACUUAUUUAUAUAUUUUAGAUGGAGUCUCACUCUGUUGCCUAGGCUGGAGUGCAGUGGUGCAAUCUUGGC